rnacentral:rRNA from 1 species
UGUAUCGGCUAUGAGAGUAGGAGCCGGGAGAUGGAUACUGAGACAAAGAUCCAGGCUCUACGGAGCGCAGCAGGCGCGAAAACUCUGCAAUGCGCGCAAGCGUGACAGGGGGAAUCCAAGUGUAUUUGUAAAACAAGUACUUUUGUAGUAUGUAAAAAGUACUGCGAAUAAGGGGUGGGCAAGACUAGUGCCAGCCUCCGCGGUAACACUAGCAACCCGAGUGGUAGUCGUUUUUAUUUGGCUUAAAGCGUCCGUAGUCAGGCCGUUAAGUCUUCUGUGAAAUCCUGCGGCUUAACCGUAGGGCUUGCAGAGGAUACUGGCGGUCUUGGAGCCGGGAGAGGUUAGGGGUAUUUCUGGGGUAGCGGCGAAAUGCUAUAAUCCUGGAAGGACCACCGAUAGCGAAGGCACCUAACUAGAACGGGCUCGACGAUGAGGGACGAGAGCUAGGGGAGCAAACCGGAUUAGAUACCCGGGUAGUCCUAGCCGUAAACGAUGCAGGCUGAGUGUCUCCUGAACCUCGAGUUCAGGAGGUGCUGAAGGGAAACCGUUAAGCCUGCCGCCUGGGGAGUACGGUCGCAAGGCUGAAACU